GCAUAMMMMAUGCAAGUCGAACGGUAACAGRAAGCAGCUUGCUGMUUYGCUGACGAGUGGCGGACGSGYGAGUAAUGUCUGGGAAACUGCCUGAUGGAGGGGGAUAACUACUGGAAACGGUAGCUAAUACCGCAUAACGUCGCAAGACCAAAGAGGGGGACCUUCGGGCCUCUUGCCAUCGGAUGUGCCCAGAUGGGAUUAGCUAGUAGGKGGGGUAACGGCUCACCUAGGCGACGAUCCCUAGCUGGUCUGAGAGGAUGACCAGCCACACUGGAACUGAGACACGGUCCAGACUCCUACGGGAGGCAGCAGUGGGGAAUAUUGCACAAUGGGCGCAAGCCUGAUGCAGCCAUGCCGCGUGUAUGAAGAAGGCCUUCGGGUUGUAAAGUACUUUCAGCGGGGAGGAAGGGAGUAAAGUUAAUACCUUUGCUCAUUGACGUUACCCGCAGAAGAAGCACCGGCUAACUCCGUGCCAGCAGCCGCGGUAAUACGGAGGGUGCAAGCGUUAAUCGGAAUUACUGGGCGUAAAGCGCACGCAGGCGGUUUGUUAAGUCAGAUGUGAAAUCCCCGGGCUCAACCUGGGAACUGCAUCUGAUACUGGCAAGCUUGAGUCUCGUAGAGGGGGGUAGAAUUCCAGGUGUAGCGGUGAAAUGCGUAGAGAUCUGGAGGAAUACCGGUGGCGAAGGCGGCCCCCUGGACRAAGACUGACGCUCAGGUGCGAAAGCGUGGGAGCAAACAGGAUUAGAUACCCUGGUAGUCCACGCCGUAAACGAUGUCGACUUGGAGGUUGUGCCCUUGAGGCGUGGCUUCCGGAGCUAACGCGUUAAGUCSACCGCCUGGGGAGUACGGCCGCARGGUUAAAACUCAAAUGAAUUGACGGGGGGCCCGCACAAGCGGUGGAGCAUGUGGUUUAAUUCGAUGCAACGCGAAGAACCUUACCUGGUCUUGAMAUCCACGGAASUUUYCAGAGAUGRAWWUGCUSCUUCGGGAACCUGYGAARACAGGUGCUGCAUGGCCUGYCGUCASCUCKKKUUKUGAAAAUGUUGGG
rnacentral:rRNA from 1 species